ACCUAGGACAAGCUGAUGGCAUAAAAUAUUUGUGGAGGGGAAUUGGAAGCAGGAAAUCGCUGCACGUCAGCAGGUGAAAAGAAAAGAGAGGGAGGAAGUUAAGUUGGACGUGUGUGUGUGUGUGUGUGUGUGUGUGUGUGUGUGUGUGUGUGUGUGUGUGUGUGUCACAGAGAUCACACAGCUGAGGCAUGUGGAGGUGUACAGCACAUAGGUGUUUUGACUGACAGCUUCUAGCUGUAAUCACGUGUAUGAUUGUUUCCACAUGUGAAACGGAUGUAAAAAUGAUUGGAUGAAAAAUCCCCCCCGUGGCCGGCAGUCUGAAUAAAGGCUGUGAAGUCGUGUCAACAUGGUUUCAGUUAUCCUGCAGGAAAGGAAGCACGUUUUCUUUCUGGCUGCUUCUCUGUGGUCUGACCAGGAACUAACUCAUCCUUAUUCUAGAAAGUGAACCACAACAUGUGGCAACAGAGCCCACAAACAUGAGCUCAUUCCUCUUGAGGGGAAACUAGCAACUGAAAAAAACAGAGAUAGAAAGAGA
ensembl:lncRNA